GCCUUCGUGGUGUAGUGGUCAGCACGUCGGGCGCAUAAUCCAGAGGUCCGUGGUUCGAGUCCCGGCGAGGGCA
rfam:Stegodyphus mimosarum contig19898, whole genome shotgun sequence.